rnacentral:misc_RNA from 1 species
AGAACAAGUUGACUCAGUUGAAACACCGAAGGAACCGGUAGCAGUAGGACCACCACCAAUAUUUGAAGACGAUGAUGAUGCAGCUGCUGCUGGGUAUAGGUGGUCUGUGGUUGCGGAUUUCAAACGCUUGGGAUCUCGAGACGACGAAGAGGAGGAAUCAAUUUGAUGAGGUUGGGCAAAUACGGACUUACCAGGAAUAGCUUUGAGAUCGUAAUCAGAAGAUGAAGAGUCUUCAAACACCACAUCUCGACUGUGCUUGUUUGUUUUCCGCUGCUCUUGGUGACGUUGAUGGGUAUGGUCGGCGAAAUCAAUAGAGGUGAUGGUGGAAGAUUCAGGAUGAGUGAAAAAUGAAUCAUCUAUAGAAGGCUGUGCAGGCAUAACAACAGAAUCAAAAUUGGGAUUUGGGUUGAGCUCUGAGAGCAUACUUUCUAGCCAAGUGGAUAGAUCGGAGGGAUUAUAAUGGACAGUUUCACAAGCAAGAUGAGAAAUACCAUCUUCUUGUACAUGACCCAUAACUUCUUGUAGCUGUUCAAGCUUCUGGGCGACCUCAACCAUGUCAGAUGACCUUACCUUGUAACCCAAAACAGCCAAAAGCUCAUCCAUCCCACCAUCAGCUUGAGCAUCGUCUUCCCACAUCUUGGCUUUGCAAGAAGUGUCAUCAUUAGUAUUGGUAUUAACAGAUGGCAUGGUAGAAUAGCCAGAAGAAGAGCUGCCAGCAGAAGCUGGGUCUAACCGAGGAUGGAGAUUUGGGUGUUCCCUUUUCAUGAUUGAUUCGUUUGUUUUUUGGAUGUCUGCUCUUGGUUUUAGGAUAUGGGUUUCUGAGAUUGCGAGUAGUGAGUGGCUGUGCUCAAAAACCAAAGAGAGCUGCUGCGAAUGGGUGAGGGUGAAUGAGGAAUCUGGACAUUGGGGAUUGGGUGUUUUGCUUGGUUUUUCACCAGUACUAGAACUUCGUACCACGAAAAAGGUAAUACACGAAGGGAAAGAAAGAAGGCACAAACAAGGAGGGCGGCCUGGCCUCUAUAUGUUACAAAUACCACGGCCAGUUCAUUUAAUUUAAUUAAUUUAUUUUGAGAGCUGAAAUUCACUGCGAUCUCAAGCCAUGGUUCUUUGUCCAGCUGAGGGCUUCUCUGAAGGAGAGAGCUUCAGCAAUCUAAUCCAGAAGGUCCAAAAGCUCUACCAAACAAGCUUUGAUCAAUUGACCAUUAUCGCUCUGAUCAUGCCUCUAUCCAGGAGAAGAGAUGCAUUUAUGUUGCGUUUGAGGAAACCGAGUGUAGGUUUAGUCUAAGAUGAAGAAGCUAGGAUGAGGUCUAGAGAGCAGCUAACUAGCUAGGUGAGAAGGGAGGCUCGAGCCUCUGGCUGAUGACUACUGGUGGAGGUAGCUCGAAACAAAUGAUGUAAUUUGGAAAUUGUUGCUUGUGGAAUCGUUCCACAACAAAAAUGAUAUCGUUAAUCAUCUAAUGUUGUUGCUGUGUCUAAAAGAAGGGAGAAUUCAAUCCGUUGUAAUAGAAGGGAAAACCUUAUUUUGACAUGAUAUAUUUUGAGUGUACAAUAAAUUGAC